AAGAUGUGAAGCCAAUGUCUGCCCCUUCCUGGCCUCAUUUAAGAGCUAGCCUCCAAAAGGUGAAUGUCUCCUGGAUGAAGGCCUUUUAUUGAGGAGCAUUUUGUAGCUAGAGACCCUAUCCUGAGUUGGUAAGUGCAGCCUUGGUUGUAGGUUAACUCCUCAUUUCAAAUUUCAAGAUGAAGAGAAUAGCAGACAAGCUAUGGGAAGGGUGCUCUGCAACCUCGGAUUUGAAGCCUAGAAAAGGAAGUCUCUGGACCUGAUAAAGCUGUUACUUUUGAAAACAAGCUUAAGUCAACAGGGUUUUGUGGCUCUCUUAAAUUCUGUUCACUACUGGAAAAAAAAGGUGAUCAUGAAAACGUGACUCAGGAGCUUCUUCUUCAGUAACCACUUAAUAUGCACAGGCUCAUAAUGUUUGUGUUAAAAAAGCUGAUAAUGUCAAUGUUCCCUACAUUCUUACACCAGUAGUCUGAAAUGUAAUUUGAAAUCACCUCUUGAUGGAAAUUUUGAAAGAAAACAAACAAGAUAGAUAAGGUUUUUUGGAGUAUUACCAAAAUGAGCAGGAUCCUAGAAAUUUUCGAGAGAUGCAUAGUGAUGCCUGGGUAAAGCUCAUUAGGAUCCCAGAGACUUAUGAGAAGCACACAUUGAAGGGAACAGUUCAGCCUUCAUAGAAUCACCUUCAUUUUUAGGUAUUAUUACUUUGAAACAAAAAGUUCAAAAACAGUGACCUCCAGAAAUGUAUAAGAGACUGAGAGGAUUACUAUACGACUUUCCAGCUUGUGUUUAGCAGGAAAAUAACAGGAGCAAGACACCCCCAGGGAGUUUGGAUACUUUCCAUUCUCCCUGGAGGAUUUUGCAGUGGAAUUGCUGUAAAUAAUGAUCUGUGCUGUGGGCGAGACUGAUCAAAAAGGCUACUCAGGGAAUUCAUUGAAGAUUUUCUUCCCUUUCCUGCUGUUCAUGUUCCCUGCCUUCCUGGUCAAAGAUGUUAACCCUCACUAUGGAGUUUAACCUCCGGUCGGGAAUUUAUGAAGAAAGAUUGUAGCUACUUUUAUUUCCAGUUAGAGGACAUAUGGAACUGGGAAAAAGCCUAGAACCAAGUCUGUUUUCACUUUUUGUUUCCCAGUAAAAAAAAUACUACUGGCUUGAAAAUUUGAAAGAAAAUAUCUUGAUGAUAAAUAAUUGGAUUGUUUCUGCAGUGUAUUUUGUCAGAAACAAGCUCCUGUUAAGAAAUGUUUAUUUUUGGUAGUGUUAAAGAAGCAGGACAGCAAAUUCAAAUGCUAAAAAAAAAUCACAUUAUACCUUCAAAUUUUUGAAAUAUAAAAAAAAUUGUUUAAACAAAAUAACAGAAAUGUAAAAUGUGUAUCCAUUUGUCUAUGGAUAUUUUGCACUGACACUGAAAACAAAGAUUUUAAAUAAACACUACACAAAUUAU
ensembl:lncRNA